UACGUAGGUGACAAGCGUUGUCCGGAAUUAUUGGGCGUAAAGAGCUCGUAGGCGGUUUGUCGCGUCUGCCGUGAAAGUCCGGGGCUCAACUCCGGAUCUGCGGUGGGUACGGGCAGACUAGAGUGAUGUAGGGGAGACUGGAAUUCCUGGUGUAGCGGUGAAAUGCGCAGAUAUCAGGAGGAACACCGAUGGCGAAGGCAGGUCUCUGGGCAUUAACUGACGCUGAGGAGCGAAAUCAUGGGGAGCUAACAUG
rnacentral:rRNA from 1 species